rnacentral:rRNA from 1 species
UAGGGAAUCUUCGGCAAUGGGGGCAACCCUGACCGAGCAACGCCGCGUGAGUGAAGAAGGUUUUCGGAUCGUAAAGCUCUGUUGUAAGAGAAGAACGUGUGUGAGAGUGGAAAGUUCACACAGUGACGGUAACUUACCAGAAAGGGACGGCUAACUACGUGCCAGCAGCCGCGGUAAUACGUAGGUCCCGAGCGUUGUCCGGAUUUAUUGGGCGUAAAGCGAGCGCAGGCGGUUUAAUAAGUCUGAAGUUAAAGGCAGUGGCUUAACCAUUGUUCGCUUUGGAAACUGUUAAACUUGAGUGCAGAAGGGGAGAGUGGAAUUCCAUGUGUAGCGGUGAAAUGCGUAGAUAUAUGGAGGAACACCGGUGGCGAAAGCGGCUCUCUGGUCUGUAACUGACGCUGAGUCUCGAAAGCGUGGGGAGCAAACAGG